rnacentral:rRNA from 1 species
GUGGGGAAUUUUGGACAAUGGGCGCAAGCCUGAUCCAGCAAUGUCGCGUGUGUGAAGAAGGCCUUCGGGUUGUAAAGCACUUUUGGCAGGAAAGAAAUAGCGCGUGCUAAUACCAUGCGCGAAUGACGGUACCUGCAGAAUAAGCACCGGCUAACUACGUGCCAGCAGCCGCGGUAAGACGUAGGGUGCAAGCGUUAAUCGGAAUUACUGGGCGUAAAGCGUGCGCAGGCGGUUUUGUAAGACAGGUGUGAAAUCCCCGGGCUCAACCUGGGAACUGCACUUGUGACUGCAAGGCUAGAGUGUGUCAGAGGGAGGUGGAAUUCCGCGUGUAGCAGUGAAAUGCGUAGAGAUGCGGAGGAACACCGAUGGCGAAGGCAGCCUCCUGGGAUAACACUGACGCUCAGGCACGAAAGCGUGGGGAGCAAACAGGAUUAGAAACCCGGGUAGUCC